AUAAGCUUAGCGGCGGACGGGUGAGUAACACGUAGGCAACCUGCCCCUUAGCCUGGGAUAACUACCGGAAACGGUAGCUAAUACCGGAUAAUCCCUUUCCUCGCCUGAGGGAAGGAUAAAAGGCGGAGCAAUCUGCUGAUAAGGGAUGGGCCUGCGGCGCAUUAGCUAGUUGGUGGGGUAACGGCUCACCAAGGCGACGAUGCGUAGCCGACCUGAGAGGGUGAACGGCCACACUGGGACUGAGACACGGCCCAGACUCCUACGGGAGGCAGCAGUAGGGAAUCUUCCGCAAUGGGCGAAAGCCUGACGGAGCAACGCCGCGUGAGUGAUGAAGGUUUUCGGAUCGUAAAGCUCUGUUGCCAGGGAAGAACGUCCGGUAGAGUAACUGCUGCCGGAGUGACGGUACCUGAGAAGAAAGCCCCGGCUAACUACGUGCCAGCAGCCGCGGUAAUACGUAGGGGGCAAGCGUUGUCCGGAAUUAUUGGGCGUAAAGCGCGCGCAGGCGGCUAUUUAAGUCUGGUGUUUAAACCUUGGGCUCAAC
rnacentral:rRNA from 1 species